AUUGAACGCUGGCGGCAGGCCUAACACAUGCAAGUCGAACGCGCGUCGGAGGGGUGAGAAAUAUAUGGGGGUCUGCCCGCUAUAGGGGGGUAACAACUGGAAACGGUGUCGCAUAUCGCGUACCGUCGGAUCAACCCAAAUGGGAUUAGCUAGUAGGGAUGGUAAUGGCUUACCUAGGCGACGAUCCCUAGCUGGUCUGAGAGGAUGAUCAGCCACACUGGGACUGAGACACGGCCCAGACUCCUACGGGAGGCAGCAGUGGGGAAUAUUGCACAAUGGGCGCAAGCCUGAUGCAGCCAUGCCGCGUGUAUGAAGAAGGCCCUAGGGUUGUAAAGUACUUUCAGUGGGGAGGCGUUACCGACAGAAGAAGCACCGGCUAACUCCGUGCCAGCAGCCGCGGUAAUUC
rnacentral:rRNA from 1 species